rnacentral:rRNA from 1 species
CGCGGCCUAUCAGCUUGUUGGUGAGGUAACGGCUCACCAAGGCAUCGACGGGUAGCUGGUCUGAGAGGACGAUCAGCCACACUGGGACUGAGACACGGCCCAGACUCCUACGGGAGGCAGCAGUAGGGAAUCUUGCGCAAUGGGCGAAAGCCUGACGCAGCAACGCCGCAUGGGGGAUGAAUGCCUUCGGGUUGUAAACCCCUUUCAGCAGGGACGAAAAUGACGGUACCUGCAGAAGAAGCUCCGGCCAACUACGUGCCAGCAGCCGCGGUAAUACGUAGGGAGCGAGUGUUGUCCGGAAUUAUUGGGCGUAAAGAGCUCGUAGGCGGUUCAGUAAGUCGGGUGUGAAAACUCAAGGCUCAACCUUGAGACGCCACUCGAUACUGCUGUGACUUGAGUCCGGUAGAGGAGUGUGGAAUUCCUGGUGUAGCGGUGAAAUGCGCAGAUAUCAGGAGGAACACCAGCGGCGAAGGCGGCACUCUGGGCCGGUACUGACGCUGAGGAGCGAAAGCAUGGGGAGCAAACAGGAUUAGAUACCCUGGUAGUCCAUGCCGUAAACGUUGGGCACUAGGUAUGGGAUCAUAUCAACGGAUUCCGUGCCGUAGCUAACGCAUUAAGUGCCCCGCCUGGGGAGUACGG